GUGCAGGGACCCGGGGAGGCGCGCGAGGACCGACCGGUCACCGCUGAAAUUACCUCAUCGCUUCAGCUCCCCGCCCCUUUCCCAAACCUGGAAGAAGCGUCCCUCCGGCCGGAGGCGCCCCCCCCGCCCCCCGCUCGCCAGCCGGUCGCCGGCCGCGCGCCGCCUCCCGGGGCCGCCUCCCCGGGCCGCGCGCAGCCAAGGGUUAAGGGCGCCGGCCGGGCCGUCCGCCGCGCCGUGCGCUCGCGCUGCUCCGAGCCGCCCGCCGCCCGCCGCCCGCCGCGGGGCCCCCCCGCCACCCCCCACCCCCCACCCCCACCCCCAAGUCGGAUCCUUGAGCUGCGGCGGCGGCAGCCAACUGCUCCAUAUUUGGCUUCUAUUACACAUUUACAUACUGGAGCGAGCGAGCGAGCGAGCGAGCGCGAGAGAGCGCGAGGGAGGGAGGGCGGGCGGGCGGAGGGAGGAGGGAGGGGAGGGGAGCGGGGGGGUCGGAGGAGGAGGAGGGCGAGGAGGAGGAGGAGGAGGAGGACGAGAAGGAGGAGGAGGACGGGGAGGAGGAGGAGGAGGAGAGAGCAGAGUGUACCGCAGACAUCAUUUCUACUACAGUGGCGGAGCCGUACAGGACCUGUUUCACUGCAGGGGGAUCACAAAACAAGCCCCGCGGAGCAGCCGCCAGAGCUACAGCAGCCGCAAGACACUGUUUCUCUCCCUCUGCCCCCCCUUCCCCACGCAACCCCAGAUCCAUUUACACUUUACAGAGCAUCGUGCAGCAGCCAGUCCCCAGGGUGGUCCGUUCAAGCUGCGGAUUUGUUUGCCAUCACUCUAAGACAAUCUCCUCCUCCACGGCCACUCCAGGGAAGUGCAUCACAAAUCAGGUCACAGAGAGUGCUGGUGGACAUCUCUCCUUGCCUUAAGAUCUUCGUUGGAAGUCCACGGGACUUGGUGUCUUUGCCGUUCAAAGUAGCUAUGAGCUCGCCAGGAGGCAUAAUGCGUCACCAUUUUAUUCUGGGCCACCCUAAAGGAUGA
rnacentral:lncRNA from 1 species